rnacentral:lncRNA from 1 species
CAACAAUACAAAAAUUCCCGUCUCUUCUAGGUAAGUUCACUCUGAGAGCAAUUAUGGAACAUCCUUCUUUAUGUUUAUUUCAGGUAAAUCAAAUUCAGAAUUUAUUUAUUUAUUUUUUGAGAGAGAGAGAGAGAAUUUUUAAUAUUUAUUUUUUUUAGUUAUCGGCGGACACAACAUCUUUGUAUGUGGUGCUGAGGAUCGAACCCGGGCCACACGCAUGCCAGGCGAGCGCGCUACCGCUUGAGCCACAUCCCCAGCCCUUAUUUAUUUAUUUUUGUUACUAGGAGUUCAACCCAGGGAUGCUUAACCACUUAGCCACAUCCCCAGCCCUAUUUUAAGUAUUUUAUUAGUGACAGGGUCUUGAUGAGUUGCUAAGUGCCUCACUAAAUUGCUGACACUGGCUUUGAACUCACAAUCCUCCUGCCUCAGCCUCCCAAGCCUCUGGGAUUACAGGCAUGUUCAGAAAAUUUGAAAUCAAACAUUAAAAUUAGUAGAAAGUGGUUGAUAGGUGAUUUCAAAUAAUAGUCUAAAUUUCAGAAUCAGUGAGUUACACUUUAGUUAUGUAAAGAUAAAUAAUUUGUGUAAGGUGGACAGGUCCAGAGGCAGGCACAGGGGAAAGGGAGUAGAACAUCUUCACUAGUGUUUCUAAGAAGACUUUGGGGCUGGGGCUGAGCUCAGCGGAAGAGUGCCUACCUGGCAUGCGCUGGGAUUCAGUCCCCAGGACCACAUGCACACAAGAUUUGGUUUUGUUUCAUUGGAUACUGUCGUCCAAGCAUUUAUCUGAAGUCCCCAUGUUCCUGUCCCAGAGGCUGAAAGUCUCUGAGCACUGGAAAGCGAGGGAAGGAAGGAAUAUUUGUUCAGCUUCAACCACAUGCUGGGGCCUGUGAGUUUCAUGCAAAGUCUCUGUUAGGUGAUAUUCUCAUUUUAUAGGUUGAGGGACCCUCAUUUGACAGGUCAAGGUCGUUAUCUCAGCUACCUAGUGAGUGUCAUUUGGAAUCCUUGUGACUCCAAAGUGUGGUGGGACAGGCACCAUCUUCACAGGUGAGACCAACACAAAGGGCUCCUAGCUGGCCUUCUGAAAGGAAGUGACCUCUAUACCUGCAUAAAUGUCAGAAUGUCGGGUUGAUUUCUUUGGAUGUCAGACCGACCCUAAUGAAGACUCCCCCCCGCAGUGCUGGCGUUCAACAGGGGCUUCAUAUGGCAAGAACUCUACCACUGAGGUAUACCCCAGCCCUUUUCAUUUUAUUUUGAGACAGGGUCUCACUUAGUUUCCCAGGCUGGUCUUAAAUUUGUAAUCCUCCUGCCUCAGCCUCCUGAGUAGCUAGAAUCACAGGGACCACCACACCCACCUAAAAACAC